AGAGUUUGAUCCUGGCUCAGAAUGAACGCUGGCGGCGUGCUUAACACAUGCAAGUCGAGCGAGGCGAGGGGGGCAACUCCCUCAGUCGAGCGGCGGACGGGUGAGUAACACGUGGGUCACCUGCCCGGAAGUGGGGAAUACCUCGGGGAAACUCGAGCUAAUACCGCAUGACAUCGUCGGGACGCCUGUCCUGACGAUCAAAGCGGGGCCGCAAGGCCUCGCGCUACCGGAUGGGCCCGCGCCCGAUUAGCUAGUUGGUGAGGUAACGGCUCACCAAGGCGACGAUCGGUAACCGGCCUGAGAGGGCGAUCGGUCACACCGGAACUGAGACACGGCCCGGACUCCUACGGGAGGCAGCAGUGGGGAAUCUUGCGCAAUGGGCGAAAGCCUGACGCAGCAACGCCGCGUGGAGGAUGAAGGCCCUUGGGUUGUAAACUCCUGUCGGUUGGGAAGAAAUCAUCCGAGGUGAAUACCCUCGGGUGUUGACUGUACCAGCAAAGGAAGCCCCGGCUAACUCUGUGCCAGCAGCCGCGGUAAUACAGAGGGGGCCAGCGUUAUUCGGAAUUAUUGGGCGUAAAGGGCGCGUAGGCGGCCAUGCGUGUCUUCCGUGAAAUCCCUCGGCUCAACUGAGGACGUGCGGAAGAAACUGCAAGGCUCGAGUCCGGGAGAGGGGGGUGGAAUUCCCAGUGUAGCGGUGAAAUGCGUAGAUAUUGGGAGGAACACCGGUGGCGAAGGCGGCCC
rnacentral:rRNA from 1 species